AGUGAACGCUGGCGGUAGGCCUAACACAUGCAAGUCGAACGGCAGCACAGUAAGAGCUUGCUCUUACGGGUGGCGAGUGGCGGACGGGUGAGGAAUACAUCGGAAUCUACUUUUUCGUGGGGGAUAACGUAGGGAAACUUACGCUAAUACCGCAUACGACCUACGGGUGAAAGCAGGGGAUCUUCGGACCUUGCGCGAUUGAAUGAGCCGAUGUCGGAUUAGCUAGUUGGCGGGGUAAAGGCCCACCAAGGCGACGAUCCGUAGCUGGUCUGAGAGGAUGAUCAGCCACACUGGAACUGAGACACGGUCCAGACUCCUACGGGAGGCAGCAGUGGGGAAUAUUGGCCAAUGGGCGCAAGCCUGAUCCAGCCAUACCGCGUGGGUGAAGAAGGCCUUCGGGUUGUAAAGCCCCUUUGUUGGGAAAGAAAAGCAGCAGGUUAAUACCCCGCUGUUCUGACGGUACCCAAAGAAUAAGCACCGGCUAACUUCGUG
rnacentral:rRNA from 1 species